rnacentral:tRNA from 1 species
CCACAGGUAGCUCAGUUGGUUAGAGCACGGGUCUGAAAAGCCUGGUGUCGGUAGUUCGAUUCUACCCUUGUGGA